rnacentral:snoRNA from 1 species
GGCGGGAUCGGCCGCGGAGGCGCCCUCGGGGGGCGCCCAUGAGAGCGGCUCCGGUUCCCCUC